rnacentral:rRNA from 1 species
UCGAGAAUAAUUCACAAUGGGGGAAACCCUGAUGGUGCAACGCCGCGUGGAGGAUGAAGGUCUUCGGAUUGUAAACUCCUGUCAUCUGGGAGUAAGGCGUGGCGAUGAAUAGUCGACACGAUUGAUAGUACCAGAAGAGGAAGGGACGGCUAACUUCGUGCCAGCAGCCGCGGUAAUACGAAGGUCCCAAGCGUUGUUCGGAAUCACUGGGCGUAAAGGGAGCGUAGGCGGCGUGGUAAGUCAGAUGUGAAAUCCCGGGGCUCAACCCCGGAACUGCAUCCGAUACUGCCAUGCUUGAGGGUUGGAGAGGUAGCUGGAAUUCUCGGUGUAGCAGUGAAAUGCGUGGAUAUCGAGAGGAACACUCGUGGCGAAGGCGAGCUACUGGACAACAUCUGACGCUGAGGCUCGAAGGCUAGGGUAGCGAAAGG